AGUGAACGCUGGCGGUAGGCCUAACACAUGCAAGUCGAACGGCAGCACAGGAGAGCUUGCUCUCUGGGUGGCGAGUGGCGGACGGGUGAGGAAUACAUCGGAAUCUACUUUUUCGUGGGGGAUAACGUAGGGAAACUUACGCUAAUACCGCAUACGACCUACGGGUGAAAGCAGGGGAUCUUCGGACCUUGCGCGAUUGAAUGAGCCGAUGUCGGAUUAGCUAGUUGGCGGGGUAAAGGCCCACCAAGGCGACGAUCCGUAGCUGGUCUGAGGGGAUGAUCAGCCACACUGGGACUGAGACACGGUCCAGACUCCUACGGGAGGCAGCAGUGGGGAAUAUUUGACAAUGGGCGCAAGCCUGAUCCAGCCAUACCGCGUGGGUGAAGAAGGCCUUCGGGUUGUAAAGCCCUUUUGUUGGGAAAGAAAUCCAGCUGGUUAAUACCCGGUUGGGAUGACGGUACCCAAAGAAUAAGCACCGGCUAACUUCGUGCCAGCCGCCGCAGUAA
rnacentral:rRNA from 1 species